UGGGGAAUAUUGCACAAUGGGGGAAACCCUGAUGCAGCGACGCCGCGUGAACGAAGAAGGUAUUCGUAUCGUAAAGUUCUGUCCUAUGGGAAGAUAAUGACAGUACCAUAGAAGAAAGCUCCGGCUAAAUACGUGCCAGCAGCCGCGGUAAUACGUAUGGAGCGAGCGUUGUCCGGAAUUAUUUGGCGUAAAGGGUACGCAGGCGGUUUAAUAAGUCGAAUGUUAAAGAUCGGGGCUCAACCCCGCAAAGCAUUGGAAACUGAUAAACUUGAGUAGUGGAGAGGAAAGUGGAGUUCCUAGUGUAGUGGUGAAAUACGUAGAUAUUAGGAGGAAUACCAGUAGCGAAGGCGACUUUCUGGACACAAACUGACGCUGAGGUACGAAAGCGUGGGGAGCAAACAGG
rnacentral:rRNA from 1 species